GUGGGGAAUUUUGGACAAUGGGCGCAAGCCUGAUCCAGCAAUGCCGCGUGCAGGAAGAAGGCCUUCGGGUUGUAAACUGCUUUUGUACGGAACGAAACGGUCCUGGUUAAUACCCGGGGCUAAUGACGGUACCGUAAGAAUAAGCACCGGCUAACUACGUGCCAGCAGCCGCGGUAAUACGUAGGGUGCAAGCGUUAAUCGGAAUUACUGGGCGUAAAGCGUGCGCAGGCUGUGCUGUAAGACAGGCGUGAAAUCCCCGGGCUUAACCUGGGAAUUGCGCUUGUGACUGCAGUGCUGGAGUGCGGCAGAGGGGGAUGGAAUUCCGCGUGUAGCAGUGAAAUGCGUAGAUAUGCGGAGGAACACCGAUGGCGAAGGCAAUCCCCUGGGCCUGCACUGACGCUCAUGCACGAAAGCGUGGGGAGCAAACAGGAUUAGAUACCCGGGUAGUCC
rnacentral:rRNA from 1 species